rnacentral:lncRNA from 1 species
ACCCUCCUGACGCAUGCAAUAAUCAGCGGUGCCAAAAUGAUUUAGUAUUUGCAAAGGUCGCUUUUGUUGCAUUUUCUACGUGAGAAACCAUCUCAGGCUAUAAGUUUGCACAGCCUGGACACUUCACUUGCAUACCUUGUUAGUUACUGAUUGGACUAUACGUAAUUAUGUUCACUUAUAUAUAACAAGAGUUACUUUACCCAACUCCCAAGGAAAUUGAUAAAAGAAAAACAUAUCUGCAUACUAAAUGUUCUUGCAAAUCUUGUUCUCAGAUUGUCAAUUGAAGGUGACCACGAGAUAUUCUCAUGUUCUUUUAUAAUGUUUAUUUGGGGAUUAAAAUCUUGAUAAUUAGAUGUACUGCUUCGCUUCAUAUGUAAUUUCCCUCAUGCCUUCUAAUCCGUUCAGAUGACUAGCUAUUAUCCACAUUAGGUUUUGCUCUAUCUAAUUGGUCGUUCAAUUAGUCAAAUAGCCGUUUCAUUUUUAUUAUGCUGACACAAGAUCUGUCUCUAUUCUAAGAUUUAGUUUCUGGUCACUUUUUGUGAGGUUUUUCAUCAAAGAUUCUCUUUAAACUCCUAUUUUAUACCUUUCUUUAUGGUUCUUUGCAUGGAAGUACUGUCUUCUUGCUUAUAUUAUUCUUCUGCUAUCAUACAGAUUUGGAUGCACCUGCACAGUACUGAUAGUACAUGAAAUUCAUCAACCUGCAUCCAAAUGCAUACAAUAUGCAUGCUAAGCUUUCUUCAAAUUUGCUCUAACAGAGUGAUGAAUACAAUAUGCAUGCUAAGCUUUCUUCAAAUUAUUCUAAUUGAUCUUAAAAAGCUGGCUACUAGUGUUAUUUGCUGCAAUUUAUUUCUGACAGCCAGGUAGUCUUGGAAUGCUUUCGUAAUGCAAUUUAUUUUUGACAGACAAGCUAUGCUAAUUGAUCUUGAAAAGGUGGCUACUGGUGUUAUCUGCUUUGUGGAAGGCUGUUAGCAUUAAACUUUAGUGCUCGCCUGUUCAUCAUAGUCUCAUUCCCUAGAUAAUUAAUGAGGCAUGAAAAAUAGGUGAAAUUGCAGGAAAAUUGAAGAUGGGAACACGAUUCAUUUUGUCAAUGGGAACAUCUACUGUUACAGAUACACUUUCUGUAUUCUACCUAUCGAUGGCGUAAUGUUUGAAUAUUAAGUCAUUUCUUUUUGUCAUUAGCAGUUGCUUUUAUUUAUGUUCAUAUUCCAAGUAUGCAUGUGCUGCUCCGGUGGUGUUUUAUUAGUUGAUUGGCAUAUAUGGAUCUCUCCAUGUUUAUUAGUUGAUCUCCAACCCCUACUCUGCUGUGGUUCUGUGGGAGCAAGAAGAGCAUGCAUGCUUUCUCUCUACAUCUAGGGUCCAUACGGCCAGAUUGACGGGCCUAAACUCUGGGUGAGCUCCUCCAUGAUCCGAUCGAUUUCUUACCUUGUUGGUUGUGUCAUAUGGCUAUUAGCAUUUGAUUGAUAAAUAUUUCAGUUUUACUGAAUGAUCUUGCUUUACCCAUCUGCACCUUGAGUUGAUCUUUUCUUUCAUGUUUACUUUUGCUACUAUUCUUGUCCAGCUCAAAGGUUUCUUUCAAGAAUCAUGAGAGAACAUUCAAGGAGUGGAUUAUUUGGAAAUUAUAACCUUCAGAUUU